CCAGACGGUUGGAUGACCGCUCGUAGCUGUCCGAAAGGUGCUGCGGGAGGAAAGUCCGGGCUCCACGGGGAUACGGUGCCGGGUAACGCCCGGCGAGGGCAACCUUAGGGAAAGUGCCACAGAGAGCAGACCACCCGCAUUUAUGCGGGUAAGGGUGAAAGGGUGCGGUAAGAGCGCACCGCUCCCGGGGCAACUCGGGAGGCAUGGUAAACCCCACCGGGAGCAAAACCGAAUAGGGACGAUGGCGCUUCGGCGCAGGCGCAUCCCCGCGCUGUCGUCCGGGUAGGUUGCACGAGGCGUCCGGCAACGGGCGUCCCAGAUGAAUGGUCAUCCAGCACCUUCGGGUGUGGACAGAACCCGGCUUACAGACCGUCUGGCUUU
rnacentral:RNase_P_RNA from 1 species